rnacentral:rRNA from 1 species
AUUGAACGCUGGCGGCAGGCCUAACACAUGCAAGUCGAGCGGAUGAGAGGAGCUUGCUCCUCGAUUCAGCGGCGGACGGGUGAGUAAUGCCUAGGAAUCUGCCCAGUAGUGGGGGACAACGUUUCGAAAGGAACGCUAAUACCGCAUACGUCAUACGGGAGAAAGUGGGGGAUCUUCGGACCUCACGCUAUUUGAUGAGCCUAGGUCGGAUUAGCUAGUUGGUAGGGUAAAGGCCUACCAAGGCGACGAUCCGUAACUGGUCUGAGAGGAUGAUCAGUCACACUGGAACUGAGACACGGUCCAGACUCCUACGGGAGGCAGCAGUGGGGAAUAUUGGACAAUGGGCGCAAGCCUGAUCCAGCCAUGCCGCGUGUGUGAAGAAGGCCCUCGGGUCGUAAAGCACUUUAAGUUGGGAGGAAGGGCUUACAGCGAAUACCUGUGAGUUUUGACGUUACCGACAGAAUAAGCACCGGCUAACUUCGUGCCAGCAGCCGCCGUAA